GUGAGGAAUAUUGGUCAAUGGGCGGGAGCCUGAACCAGCCAAGUCGCGUGAAGGAAGAAGGAUCUAUGGUUCGUAAACUUCUUUUGCAGGGGAAUAAAGUGCAGGACGUGUCCUGUUUUGUAUGUACCCUGAGAAUAAGGAUCGGCUAACUCCGUGCCAGCAGCCGCGGUAAUACGGAGGAUCCGAGCGUUAUCCGGAUUUAUUGGGGUUAAAGGGUGCGUAGGUGGUUUGAUAAGUCAGCGGUGAAAGUUUGCAGCUUAACUGUAAAAAUGCCGUUGAAACUGUCGGACUUGAGUGUAAAUGAGGUAGGCGGAAUGCGUGGUGUAGCGGUGAAAUGCAUAGAUAUCACGCAGAACUCCGAUUGCGAAGGCAGCUUACUAAGCUACAACUGACACUGAAGCACGAAAGCGUGGGGAUCAAACAGGAUUAGAUACCCCUGUAGUCC
rnacentral:rRNA from 1 species